GCCUGAGCUGUUGGUUGAAAUGAACUAGUUAGAGCAUAUUCUCUGGUGAGAUCAUGUUUUUCUUGAAACGAAGAAUCUCACUUAUACUGUACAACGUCAGGAUAAAGAUGGAAAACCCCUCCUGCCAAAAGAGCCCAAGGAAUCACUUCCACCCAUGAGUGAAGACUUCCUUCUUGAUGCUUUGUCUAAGGACUUUACUGGUUCCCCAGACUCUUCAUCUCUUGUAAGUCUGAAACUCCUGGUUUUAUUUCCUUACUUUAUGGUGGCAGAAAGAAAUGGAAACUGGUGACUUAGAAUCUGACUUUGGAGCUGAGGAAAUAAUCAUAAAAUUAAAGGCUUUCAACCCAUUGUACCCAUGAAAUAUGUUGCAUCCUGAAAGUGUGUCAGCACAGUAGACAUUUGCAACAAUGUAACUAAUUGAACCAAGGAGUGUACACUCUAUUAAGUACACCUAUUAAAAGAGAAUUUAAAAUUCACUUUAUACAAAGGUACAUCUCAAAUAAUUUUACCUGUUAAUAUUUUUACAAUUAAUCAUUUUCCAUAAUUACCUCCUAGGAAAACUUAGCUCUGAGUAGAAUAGAUAGUUCCGCAAAGAGAAUUCUGUUACUAGAAAUUUUAGGAAGUGUUGGGUAAUG